CAUACACGCUCGCAGACACACACACGCGCGCGCACACACACACACACACACACACCUAGCACCAAUGCUCAAUGCUAAUUUGAGUUCAAUCAGGUGCUGGUUUUACACCAACCUACAACAAGUAUCUUCCACCUUAAUCUUCCACCUCAACAAUGUUCAGAUAAGACCAAAAACCCGGACUGGACUUGUACAGAAAAAACUAAGUGAAAGGACUCAAUGCAGUGUGCACUUUGCCUCUGUGCUCGAAAUGCUGAGUCAACAAACCAAGCCAUUGAUAUCUCUGAAGGAAGCUCAGAUGGUGCCCAAGCAGGGAAAACCUGUGGAGCAGAAGGAGAGAACAAGAAUGGCCUUUUAUUGUCAUGCCUGUGUGGUUAUGUUAUGCUGUACAGAAAUAUAUUAAAGAGUGGCCAGCAACUGUAUGUAUCAUAGAGACCUGUAGCUUCUUCUAAAAGGAGCAAACAUGGCUGACAAGACUAUUAUUGAUUAUUUGUAAGCAUUUGUGCUGAACUGCCAUGAACCAGCAUGCCUCUUCCUCUGACUGACUGCCUAAAUGUCUGACUGAUUCAUCCCCACCCUGAUAGAAAAUGAGUAAUACCCCAAUUCACACCUACACUUACUACUUCACCUGACCUACAUACUGCUGUGAAAUGAUAGUGAUGAGUUCAUCUAAAUCUGCUAGAACACAACCACAACUUGCCCGUGAUAUGGUCACCUUUUGGUCAAAAUUGAAAUGCCACACAAGCACUAGUUGCAUUUGAGUGGCCCAGAUUCUUGUGAUUAAAAAUCUUUUCACCCACAAUAUCAUGCCAUUGCCAUAACUCAUCUAAACUCAACUGAAUGUUCUGAGCUGUUUGGAUGUGCACGUGCAGAUUUUGUUUGAAAUGCCUGUAAGCUACGUGAUGAUGUAUACACUUAAAACACGAACCAGUGCCUCAAGAGUAAACCCAAAGAAUACUCUGCUACAAUACAAUUUCCUGCCCAUUUUCUGAAGAAUUCCACCUCCUAGGUUGGGCUAGUUAGUUAGUACUUAAAAGUGGUAUGAUGAUUGGACAGCUCAGAUAAGGUUUAUCAGAAUAAAAGUUCCAAAUCUACUCAAUUUCCACUGUUUUGCGAUGGUUGCUAUAGUGAUGUGAACAACUUCUUCAAUGUCCGAAAAACUGGCUGCAGUACAUCCGCUUACGUGGUUUUGUUUUUAACCUGACUUUCAUUUUUUAAAUAGUUCAAUACGACAGUAUGCAGCACUGCCUCCAUGUGUGUGUGUGUGUGUGUGUGUGUGUGUGUGUGAGUGAGAGUGAGUUUAGAGAGGAUUUCACAUGUAGUCACUACACACUGAACAAAAUGCAAGAAACAGCAGAACAUAUGGAUAGUUGCUGAGCUGAACAAAUCAGCAUGUUAGGGGGUAGGGUAAGAGAGCAGGGUCAACCAGGAUAUGCCGUCCCUGGAGCAGAGAAGGUUACGGGCCUUGCUCAAGGGCCCAAAAGUGGCAGCCUGGCAGCGACUUUCCGAUCAGUGACCCAGAGCCUUAACUGCCAAGCAACACACCAGAGUGACUUACAAUUAUCUCAUUUAUACAACUGAGCAGUUGAAGGUUAAGGGCCUUGCUCAAGGGCCCAGCAGUGGCAGAUUGGCAGUGUUGGGAUUUAAACUUACGACCUUCCAAUCAGAAGUCUUAACCACUGAGCUACCACUUCCUUUUUUUGCAGAAAGAGGGUAACUAUUGGCAUUCUCCCCAGAGCCCAGUGAGGAAAAGCAAGAGGGAGGAAAGAGUGAGGGAGGGGAGACGAGAGGAAGGGAGGAGGGGACUGAGGGAAGGAGGGGAAGGGAGUCUGGGUCUCCAUAGAGACGAAAGGCUGUUUUUGUUAGCGUGGUGUGUGUGAGUCAGAGGAGCGGUGAGUCACAGUCAGGAGGGAAACUCUCCACGGAGCCAAAUAAGGACAACUACACGCAGCGAGACAGAGGGAGGGAGAAAGAGAGAGAGAGACAGAGACAGAGAGAGAGAGAGACGCACACAAAGACAGGCCGAAAUGGAGAGGCUAGUCAUAUCUCACUCUUCCUAUGCUAGCUCAUUGUUUACUUUAGCACUGCGUUGUGUUAGGAGUGUAUAUGAAUAUUGGCAGCCAGAUUGACAUUGAGGCUCGGUACAUUUAGGCUGAGGUUUACAUGAAGCGGCCUCAUCUGUCCUGUGUAAUUCACCAAGCAGGCUGACUUCCACAGAACUGCAGCAUUAUGAAAAGGUGAUAAUGAUGCGUCUGCUUUUAUGAGCCCGGGGAGAGAUAAGAAAACAAUAAAUGUCACCUUGAGACUCCUUGAACAGCUGUGUCCUGAGAUUAAGGGAGGAUUGCUGAAUGUAAAAUGGGUGAUCUGUACUGCAGCCUAUGAGCUUUUUAAAAAAAAUAAAAUAAUUAAUGUUAGUUAGCAGCAAACACAUGAAAUUUAUGAUAGCAGUCAGGGGUUGUGUGUGGGUGUGCAAGACAGAAAAGUGUAAUACUAACACCAAAGAGCAAGCCUACCACAAUGAAGGAGGGGGUAAAACAUAAGAGCCUGUUUCAUCUUUGGCUUCCCUUAUUCUAUGAAUACACGUUUAUGAUUCAUGUCACUUACAUCACCCUGUGUGUUUUUUUUUCCAUGUAAUGAUGCCACAGCAAUUCCGCUUUCAGGAUGUCUCGCAGGUUAUAUUUAUCAGCAGCCAAUGACCGCAUUCAAUACGGCAAAUAAAGCAAAAACUGACCAUCAGUCUUCACCUAGAGACGUUCGACUGAAAUAAAACUACAGUUCAGUCCUUGCCUGUGUGUUAUCUGAGAACUACAUGCAGCUUUUAAGGACAUUUCAGUAAGCAGGUGCACUGUGAGACAUCAUGGAAAAUUGCUUAAUUAAAUCCACGAACACUGAUUAACUUGUAUAAUCAAUAUUUGGACAAAUGUUCCAGUAUCUGCUCCUCGGGUUUCUAAUCCGUACAUACAUCAUGAUAGUAUCAUUACUGCAGUAAUCAGGCAGUCCAUCAAUUUGAAGAUAGGAAAGUUUUCUGUUUUAGCAACACAAACCAAAUGAACACUCCCCUGAAGUACAUAUAGUACAGUCAGCAGUGAUUCACACAGUGUACACUACAUAGUUAUCCUACUUACAAAAGCCUGCAGUGUACACUAAUUGUGGCACAUUAACAACAUAACGAUGAUUUUUAGUGUUUAUAACAAUGUGAUGAUGAUUUUUAGUGUUUAUAACUCCUUCAGUGUUUGACAUGUUCAUGUAUUGACACAUUUUCUUGGGAAAUAUUCAAAAUUGAGUUACAGGCAUGUAGUGAGGAUUUUCUAUUGAAAAUUUUUCACAUUCGUAUUCAGACCUCAGACAUACCGUUGAGGUCAUAAGUUUGUAUACGCCUUGUGGAAUCUGCAAAAUGUUAACCAUUUUAAUAAAUAAAUAUACAUAAGCAAUCAUAAAAAUUGCAUUUAGUGUUUUAUUUAGUACUGCCUUGAAUAAGUUAUUUUACAUAACAGAUUUUUACAUAUAGUUCACAAGACACAAUAAUACCUGAAUUUACACAAAUGAACCAGUUCAAAAGUGUACAUACGCUUGAUUCUUAACACUGUGUGUUGUUACCUGGAUGAUCAGUGACUGCUUUUAUGUUUUGUGAUAGUUGUUCAUGAGACCUUUGUUUGUCCUUUGUCCUGCCCAUUGGUCUUCAGAAAUAAUCCUCCAAGGUCCUGCAUAUUAUUUGCUUUUCCAGCCUCUUCUGCAUAUUUGACCCCUUUACAACAGCGGCUAUAAGAUUUUGAGAUCCAUCUUUUCACACUUAAGAC